rnacentral:ncRNA from 1 species
AAUUUUACUGAGAAAAGAUGAGUAAAUAUUUAUCUUAUUUUAACAGAGAGCCAUGUUAGGUGAAAGAUGGUAUUUAAGAAAAUAUUGAAGAUGGUCUUGGAGUAAGUUUAAAUUGUGAGCCAGUUAGGUUAGCAAUUUACGGGAUAACACACGUUACUGUGUUGAAGGAUAGCUACCAUGAGUGUCCGGAUCGAAGAUGGUGAUAAUAGCAUUGUAUAAUUAUCACUAAUAUAGGGUGGUACCGCGUUUAACAACGCCCCUAGG